AUAAAAGAAAAGGCUAGUUCAAGCCUGUAGAAAGUCCUCCUGAGGAGCAGCACCACCAUCUCAUCACAGUUUGCAAUCUGGAACACGUAUAAUGAAGUUCUAUAGUGGCUCACCUCUAGAAUAGUGUAUGUCCUUCCCAGAAAUGAACAAUGGUGCCUUCUGUGGUCUUUGUGUCACUCCUGCACAAUGUGAAGAUUGGACCAGUUCAUCCACCAUGGGUUCAAUAUAUAAAGACAUUGUGACAAACAGAGGAGCAUCUGUUUGUUACAGAGCAGCAGCUGAGGUCCCUCCCACCAUCUCCAACUGACGCUCGGGUGCCAGAGCUGAGAGGGAGCCAUGAGGACAGUUCCAUCUUGUCUUUUUACAUCAGCUGAGGCCCCUCCCACCAUCUCCAACUGACUCUCGGGUGCCAGAGCUAAGAGGGAGCCAUGAAGACAGUUCCAUCUUGUCUUUUUACAUCAGCUAGAGGCCCCUAUCCGCAAUAACAUGCUAUGCUAGUUUUAUAUCUGGAGCAGAAUGAAGAAGGCGGGGCCGGGAAGACAUCUUUCCACCAUGUCUCCUGUAUCAAUUUAAUGAUAUAAUGAUAUAUAAUAAUAUUAUACUAUACUAUAUUAUAAUACAUUGUAUAUACAUGUAAUAUUAAUAAUAAUAUUAUGAUGUAAUACAAUGUAAUAAUAAUUAUAAUUCACUAUUAUAAUUGUAUAUUUAUAUUACAUGCAAUAUUACUAAUAAUAUUGCGAUAUAGUUGUAUAAUAUAAUAUAUUGUAUGUAUAUAUACUUGUAAACUGCCCUGAGUCCCCUUCGGGGUGAGAAGGGCGGUAUAUAAAUGUCGCAAAUAAAUAAAUAAAUAAAUAAAUAAAUUAUUUUUCUGAGAAAA